UUUAGUGAACAUUACUGUAUAAUACACAUCAUAUUCACAAGAGCAAAUGAUCAUGCAGCUUAUAGGUCCCAAAGCAGCAAAUAAGAAUCAAGUCCUAAAACAAACCUACGAGACAGCAGGGGAUUGUUUAAAAACAAACUACUAUGGAAUUAAGCAACUCACGGAAGCACUCAUUCCACUUCUUCAACAAUCUGACUCGGCAAGGAUCGUCAAUGUCUCCUCCCAAUUGGGACAACUAAGGGUACACGUCCGAAACCCUUGUUUCAAAUCUCCCAUUCACAUUGUUAGACUAACAACAUAACAUAAGAUGCAAGAUAACAUCACAUUAUCGAAUAAAUUUUUCAAUUUUUUUAGGUUAUUCCAAACGAGAAAGCGAAGAAGGAGCUAGUAGAUGGUGAUAGCCUCACAGAAGAGAAAGUGGACAACCUUGUUGAGGGAUUUUUGGAGGAUGUGAAGCAGAAUUUGGUUGAAGCCAAAAGCUGGCCAACCAAUUUCUCUGCCUACAUUGUAUCCAAAGCCGCUCUGAAUGCUUACACAAGAGUUUUGGCUAAGAAGUAUUCCAGCAAAAUUGCUAUCAAUGCCGUGUGUCCGGGUUUUACCGACACGGACUUGAACAAUCACACUGGAGUCUUCACAACUGAAGAAGCUGCAAAAGGUCCUGUGAAGCUGGCUUUGCUGCCUGAUAAUGGAGCUUCUGGCCUCUUCUUUGCACAGACUGAACUAUCAACUUUCGAAUGAAAAUUUGAAAUUGUAAAAUAAUUGGUCUGUUUUUCGUCAUGUGUUCUCAAUAAAAAAAAUAUGUCAAGUUUUAAUAAAGUUUCAAUUCUAAAUCUCUUGUUUUAGGUCACAACUCAACCAACUUUUGCUAUGUCUCUAGUCCUUUGGGUGCUUUAGUAAUUUCUUGUUUGCUACGUCUUCAGUUUCUUUGUGGAUUUUGAUAAAAUAAUUACAUGUAUUUAAUGCAAUUAAAUUCUAAACGUUGAAAGGGUGAUUGUACUAAAUACAUGUAAGUAUUGGAGCCAAACUCAAAAAUUAAAUAAGAGAUAUUUUUUUAAUGAUCAUUUCUUAAUAUUGAAAAUAUUUUUUUGAUCAAAAUGAAAUUAACUUUUAACUUAUUGAUUAGGAAUGCAUGUUCAUGAUUUUGCUACGUUGAGGCACAAUUACAUCAUUUUUGUGCGGGGUUUGCUUAUUUUGUUGUUGAUAUCAUUUCUUAGCAACAUUUUGAUAUGUUUGGUUUAAAGAUCUAACGAUGAUCUUAUUUGUAAUUUGUUUGUACCAUACUUAACCAAUCCUGAAAUUACUGAGCACCGGUCAACGUUAUACCGUUAAGGAUCUACAAGAGUUUCCCUCCAGCCAGAAGGCCAAUCACAGCGCGACACGUGUCGACAUCAGAAGCCAAUCAUACCGCGACACGUGUCAACACCGGAAGCCAAUCACAACACGACAUGUGACAAUAUUAGAACAAAGCUAGAAACUCUUUUCUAUAAAAGGAGAUCAUUCUCCCACAAUAUUUCUUAAUGUCAUUUGUACUAAAUCAUUCACUAGUACUCACUAAAGGAGAGCUUGAACCUAUGUACUUGUGUAAACCCUUCACAAUUAAUGAGAACUCCUCUACUCUGUGGACGUAGUCAAUUUGGGUGAACCACGUACAUCUUGUGUUUGCUUUCCUGUCUCUAUCCAUUUACAUACUUAUCCACACUAGUGACCGGAACAAUCUAGCGAAGGUCACAAACUUGACACUUUCUGUUGUACCAAAGUCCUCACUGAUUUUGUGCAUCAACAUUUGGCGCCGUCCGUGAGAACGACAUUUAUUCCCACUCUCUUCAGCUUUGUCAAGUUGGUUUCCACCAUUUGUACACUUUCUUUUGACUAGGCAUCCCUCUCCAACAUGGGAAGUGAAGGAUGCCACAACACACAGAAUGACACCCCCUCGCACCUAGUGCGAAGCAACAAAAGAAGGAACAAAAGAAGCUUGCUCUUUAGGCUAAAGUCGAUAAGCUGGAGGCUCAGAACAACAAGAUUGUGAUGAAGAAUGAGAUCCUCCAAGAGCAGUAUGAGAAGGUCUUCGAGAUGCUCCACGAGGCUAGAUAUACUAAAGCACACGAGCUUAUCACCUCUGUGGAAGUCAACCAUCAACUGGGUGACUCCCAACACGGAGGGUCAUUUGCUCUCGAUAUGGGUAUUCCUGUUGAGGAGCGAGCUACUCAUCGAAAUGGCGACCAACAUGAAACUUCUCUUAACCCAGCUGUUUCGAUCCGAAGCAUGAGGAGUGGAGGAAGGUGCCUCCUUACAAAAGGAGUGGAAGGAUCGAAAGUCGUCUUUCACGACUGUCGAGACUUCCUAAAGAAACAUAGAGACAAUCUCAUCUAGGGGUGGUUCGGUAUGGGAUCCCAUACCGAAACCCUAAUCUCGAUUCCCAAACCAAAAUUUUCGGGAAUCCCAAUUUCAAUACCGAUCCCAAACCAAAUUUUCGGGAAUCCCAAUUUUCGGGAAUCUUGAAAUAGUUUCGGGAUUUCGGGACAUAUCGGGAAUCCCGAAAUGGUUUUGGGCUUUUGGACUAAAUUUGACAUAUUAUGCUUUUGGGCUAAAAUUCAACAUUUUAUAUUGAAAUUUUGGGCUUUUGGGCAGAAUGCCAAUAUGCGGCCCAAUCUAUUGUUAGACUAAAAUAUGCAAUCUGUGCAAUUUGUGCAAUUUGUGCAAUUUGAAAUCUGAAUCUGUGCACAAUAGUCAAUAGCUGUGCACAGAUAAUGUUAUGCAAAUGCUCAAGGAUCUAAUCAGUUAGUCAUUAGAAGUUUCAAAGAGAAAGAAAAGAGCAAAAACAAGUUCUCAAUGCUUGCUAAAUCGAAAAAUAAGUUUAAGAGAAUCUCCAAUAUGAAACCAUUUUUUCAAAUAUGUAAUAGUUAACAAUCUGUAUAUGGACAACAAAAGAAAAUUGAUAUAUCAUGGUAACAUUUUAGACUAACUUUUUAAUCCACUUCCCUGCAAUCAAUAUGUUUUUAAUCCAUAUUCCGAGUCCAAUACUAAUCAACACCAUUUACAACCCAGGGCCCUCAUUCAUCCCCUCACCCAAAACGAAUAUAAAACAAACAAAGAAAGAAGCGAAAUGCCUCGGUCUAUUCGAAUGCAUAUGAACCAGAUUUCAUAUAUUUAAUUUAACACAAACAAGGGAAUAACAACAGCAGCUUGUAAGUUGUACCACACUCCAUUAACUUCUCAUAUUCCCUCUGCAACCUCUCCGUCGAUUCAAAAUUCCUAAUUCCAAAAGCCCUAUUUCAGAAACCCUAAUUUCAGAAAUUCCUAAUUCAGAAACCCAAAUUCAAAUUUUCUAAUCGAAUUUGGAAUCAAACAAUUUGUAUGAACUUUGGUUGAGUUUAUUGCAGGAAUUUCUUACCUUUUGCAGUGAGGAGGAGGAGUGCGGAAUGAGACCGAAAGCUCGAUUUAGGAGCCGAAUUCGGAUGGUAAGGACAGUGGGUAAAGGUGCGAUUAAGGUGAGGAGUGAUGACUGAGAGGAAUGACGACUGGUUUGGGUAGAUUCGGGAUUCAGGCGACGGAUGUGGGAGGAGAGACAAAUCGGCGAGAAGAUACUGAGGUGAGGUGAGGUGAGGUUUUAGGUCUGAGGUUGAGAGACCGAGAGAGAGAGAGCGAGAGAGAGUCAGACACGGGUUGGGGGGUUGAUAACUUUGAUUUACAUGCAACGGCUGAGAUUAAAUCUCAACAUAAUCCAACGGCUAUUAAAAUUCUAAUUAUAUAUUUAAAAAUUAAAUAAUAUAUAUGUGUAUUUUUCAGUUCGGUUUGGGAAUACCGAAAUCCCAAAAACAUGAGACCGAUUCCCGUACCGAAAUUUCGGGAAUUUUUCGGUUUGGGAAAUUUCGGUUCGGGAAUUUUUCGGUUUGGGAAUAUUUCGGUUCGGUUUCGGGAAAAUUUCGGUUCGGUUUGGUAUUUUUGGGAUUUUUUUCCAGCCCUAAUCUCAUCCAUGUAAGCUCGAAGAUCAAUGACCCAAGGGUCUCUGAAAGACUCGGUCCCCUCCCAUGUCCCAGGCCAGCUACCAAUUUGGGGAAGGGGCAACAAGUCCUAAAGAAACACGAAGGUAUAGGGGACUUAGAAAUGUUCCAACAGACAUACCUUGGAAGUCAGUACGGUGAGUCCAGGGAAAAAUCACAUGUUCUUGAUCAAACCUUCCUGAGGAGAUGGAGAUUUAGGAAAGAAAGCUUCAGUGGUACAUGACUCCACUCAGAACCCCCUUGUCCUACAGCUCCUUAAGGAAGUAAACAAGUUGAAGGCCGAACGACAAGCUGAGAUACCUAAUUGGAACUAACCUAGGCCUGGCCUUCUUACAAGGAGGAUCCUCGACACCUCUUCCAAGCAAAGACAAAGCAGAAGCUUGGCUUGCAACUCUACACUGGAAAUGAAGACCCGAUUGAACACCUUAACCUCUUUGAGUCUACCAUGGCAUACCAGAUGCACACCGAUGAAGAGCAAUGUCUUCUCUUCCCCUCCACCCUCUCUGGCAACGCUCUAAACUGGUAUUGUCGUCUUCCACCUGAAACGGUAGACUCAUUUGAGGAAUUGAGGAAACUGUUUGUUUCUCAACACAUUUCCAAACCGAUCGCUUGCACUCUGCGGAUGACUUGUACAUUAUUCGCCAGAAGCCAGACGAAUCAUUAUGUAUGUAAGCUGGCCGUUUUAGCCAUGAGUAAUCCCGUUAUGCCGAGGCAGACAACAAGACUGCCCUCAAAGCCUUCACGGCAUGCCUACGUGACUGUUUCUUUAAGUACAUGAUCAAUGCCAACACUUGGAAGACUUACUCUGAGGUAAUGGUGCAGGCUUAUAACCAUGCCUCCGCCGAGGCAAGGACAUACCAAGAGAAACCCCCAACAACCAUCCCUUAUCAGCAAGUGGGGAGUGGAAGCCAGACCCACCCAAAUAAGAAUACCUCAACCUUCCAAACGGCAGCAGUGCCUCCCCCUGCCUUACUUAAUACUUUGUCAAGUCAGCAGACAUAUCAAUCUCAGGGCAAAAGGAAAGAUUUCCAUCCUCACCACUCUCAUUUUAGUAAAAGGAGUAAGGGAUAAUACCGCGAUAACCAAGGGUAUCGCCACGAUAAUCCUCGACCCCAGGCAGUCAACACAGUGGGUCAAGCACGUGUCAAGACAGGCCCUACCCCGAGGUAUGAGGCAUACACACCUUUGAACGCCACAUGCGUGGCCAUUUAUCCCAGCAUAACACACCUAAUACCGAAGCCAAAGCCGAGGCACCCGGAUUACAAGCCCACGAAGAACACGGACACGUUUUACUACUACCACGAGCAUAAUGGCCAUGACGGCGAGAAGUGUAUCACUUUUCGUGAUCAUAUUGAAGCUUUGGCAUGUGAAAAAAAAAAUUGAUCAAUUCCUCCUCCACCCUCCAAUGGGUAAUCGUAAUCGAUGCCAAGUGAAUGUGAUAUAUUCCAUAUGUGGUGGCACACCCAUAUCUAAAUCUUCCAACAGGGCCAUGAAAAACAGUGAACGAGCUUUAAGGCCUGGCCACCAAGGGUUUCACGUGGAAGACAUCAGGGGAGGCAAGUAUCAAAAGCCUAAUUGGGAUCCAAUAUGUUUCUACCCUAAGGAAGAAAGAGGUAUCAUCUACCAUCACAACGACCCACUAAUCGUGGAAGCUCACAUAGCCAACUUUGAAGUACGACAAAUCCUGGUAGACACGGGGGCUUCAGUCAAUAUCAUGUUUGUUGAAGCUUUCAAGGCACUUAAUGUUACUGAACACUUGCUCGAUCGCUCGAUUUCUCCUCUGAUAAACUUCUCCGAUGAUAUCGUGCAACCUUUAGGGAGCAUACGCUUACCUUUCACCAUUGGUACAGGCCCUUACAUAGCCACCACUACCACUAACUUCCUAGUGGUUAAUUGCCCAACGGCAUACAAUGUCAUCUUUGGACGCACAUGCAUUAAUGAUCUCAAGGCCAUGGUAUCCACAGAUAUGUUGUUGAUGAAAUUUCCAACCCCCUUAUGGCAAUGGUUACAUCAGAGGAGAUCAACUUAGUGCACGGUUAUGUUACAAUACUUUGGUCAAGCAACAGUACCUGCCUGUGCUUAAGGAAACCUUUUCUAUACAUAACCAAGUCAUAAAGACCAGCCCGAACGAAGCUAACUUGGAUCUUCACGGUGGCAGCAAUCAACCCAACAAUCCUUGAGAUAACUCUUUCACCCAGCAAGCACAACCCGCUAGAGAAGGUUUAUAUCUCAAAAGAUUAUCCAGAUCGCAUGGUGAAGAUUGGCACCACCUUGUCACCACCCAUUCGGUUGGCAUUGAUCUCUUUUUUGCAAGAUAACACUGAGGUAUUCGCCUGGUCAUACGAGGACAUGCCAGGCAUCUUUCCUGAUAUCACCUAUCAUCGUUUAAGUAUUGACCCCAAAACCAAGCCAGUGAGACAAAAAUGAAGAUCUUAUGAUGUUGAACAGUACGAGGUAAUAAAGGCAAAAGUUGAAAAACUCAAAGGUAUAGGCUUCGUCCGCAAAGUCAAUUAUCCAACAUAGGUAGCAAAUGUUGUCCUUGUUAAGAAGAAUUCGACCAAGGAAAGUCUUAUGCUCCAAAAGGUCUUGUGAAAAAUGUGUGUCGAUUACACUGACCUAAACAAAUGAUGCCUGAAUGAUAGUUUUCCUCUUUUUCUCAUAGACAGACUUAUGGACUCUAUGGCAAGGUGUAAACUCUUGAGCUUCUUGGAUGCUUACUCAGGAUACAACCAAAUUCUCAUGAACCCUCCAAACCAAGAACACACAGCCUUCACUACUGACUGCGGACUAUAUUGCUAUAAAGUCAUGCCUUUCGGCCUAAAGAAUGCAGGGGCAACUUAUCAGAGAUUAGUCAAUUCAAUGUUCGUUGAACAAAUUGGGAAGAGCAUGGAAGUUUACGUUGAUGAUAUGCUAGUUAAGAGGAAACUUGCUAACCAACACAUCACCAACCUAUCUAAAACUUUCACCAUUCUGAAGAGGUAUCGAAUGAGGUUGAACUCCAACAUAUGCGCCUUCGGCAUAGGCUCUAGAAAAUUCUUGGGCUUCAUGAUUAGCCAACGAGGCAUUAAAGUUAAUCCCGAGAAGAUCUAAACAAUCUUCGACAUGAAGGAACCGGUAACUUCAAAAGACAUCCAGGCUCACUUGAGGAAAAGAUUACUCCAACUACUAUGACAUAAGGGUUAAACCUCGUUCUUUCAAAGUGGGGGACUGGGUAUUGAAGAAAAGAUUACUCUGCGACAAAGUCCCGAGUGAAGGAACACUUAGUCCAAACUGGGAUGGACCGUUUGAAGUUGUUGGCAUCAGUCGCUCUGGCUCCUACAAGCUUAGAAGCUCCAAUGGCAAAACCCUUAGCCAUCCAUGGAACGCUGAUCACUUGAAGCACUAUUACAAGUAAACUCACAUUGUAAAAGUGUUAAACUUCAGCCGUUCGGCAUCCUAUGUAAUGAAGACCAUUUGGCAUGAAUUCAAUAAAGAGGUGAUUUAGACAACUCGGUCCUAAUCCUCUUACAUUCCUAGCAAUGAAACACUCGGGUUCAAAGCUUCAACAUGAAUACUUCCAACAUGAAACAAAGUCUAAAUAUAUGUCAACAAGACUAUACAAAUAAAUGAACAGCUUCACAGUAUAUUCGUUCAAUCAUACAUUCCAACACAUUCAUACAUAAGCCAACUGUGCUUCGAAAGGGUUCAACAUACCUUAUGUCAUUCGACACUUGCUACAAUGUGCCUCAGCACCUUGUCCUUAUUCUUACCAACUAGGUGAUGAAAGAACUUACCUUCGUGCCACCAACUAGGUGAUGAAAUGUACAACCCGUACUCUAAUAUUAUUUGGCAACUUGCCACUCUUAUCACCAACCAGGUGAAGAAUGAACUCACCUUUGUGCUACCAACCAAGUGAUGAAAUGUACAACCCGUACUCUAUAUUAUUUGGCAACUUGCCACUCUUAUCACCAACUAGGUGAAGAAUGAAUUAAUCUUCGUGUCACCAACCAGGUGAUGAAAUGUGAUGAAGGAACUCACCUUCGUACCACCAACCAGGUGAUGAAAGCAACUCACCAUUCAUUCCACGAACUAGAAGACGAGUGGUACAACUUGUACAUGUGAACUCGUAGCAUUCACAAAUAAUAAAAAACUCUCAAGCUUUACAACUCAACUAAGGGAGCAUUUAUGUCCAACAAGAGUUAUAGUCACCAACAAAGUCUUAUUGCAAGCCAACAACAACUUCAGUGAAUAGUAUACGAAUAUCAAACUAUUCAGCCCUCUUGCAUCUACUUCAGACAUUUCUCCUCUGUAACAAUGCAAACACUACAACUCGUAGAAAGCUUCACACAUUCUUCAGCAAGACUGUUUGAAACAAAUUCUAUUUAUAUGGUUCAUCCAAACCUUCAACUACUACAAGGUGUGGCUUGUAUAUGUUGUCUCUCCUACAUUUUCAAAUUUCCAAUUUUCCAAAAAAAAAACAAAAAACAAAAAAAAACGAAAUUAAGAAAUUCAACAAAGCUUCAUCAAUGGAGGACAACUACAAAUUCUCAAAAGCUUCACACACUCUUCAUCAAGAUAGUGUGAAACAAAACCAAUUUAUGGUGGAAAUCAAAAGCUUCAUCAAUGGAGGACAACUACAAUUCUCAAAAACCUUCACACACUUUUGAUCAAGACAAUGUGAAGCAAAACUAAUUUAUGGUGCCAACAAGAGCUUCAUCAAAGGAGUUCAACCACAAUUCUCAAAAGCUUCACACACUUUUGAUCAAGACAGUGUGAGGCAAAACCAAUUUAUGGUGCCAACAAAAGCUUCAUCAAUGAAGGGUAACUACAAUUCUCAAAAGCUUCACACACUCUUAAUCAAGACAGUGUGAAGCAAAAUCAAUUUACGAUGCCAACAAAAGCUUCAUCAAUGGAGGCUAACUACAAUUCUCAAAAACUUCACACACUCUUGAUCAAGACAAUGUGAAGUAAAACCAAUUUAUGGUGCCAACAAAAGCUUCAUCCAUGGAGGGCAACUACAAAUGCCUAAAGCUUCAAACACUCUUGAUCAAGAUAGUAUGAAGCAAAACCAAUUUAAGGUGCCAACAAAAGCUUCAUCAAUGGAAGGCAACUACAAUUCUCAAAAGCUUCACACAUUCUUGAUCAAGACAGUGUGAAGCAAAACCAAUUUAUGGUGCCAACAAAAGCAAAACCAAUUUAUGGUGCCAACAAAAGCUUCACCUACAAAGCUUCAACACAAAAGCUUCACCUACAAAGCUUCAACUCCAAAGCUUCACCUACAAAGCUUCAACACAAAAGCUUCACGUACAAAGCUUCAACUCCAAAGCUUCAACACCAAAGCUUCACUUAUAAAGCUUCAACACAAAAGCUUCACCUACAAAGCUUCACCUACAAAACUUCAACACCAAAUCUUCAACUACAAAGCUUCACCUACAAAAGCUUCAACUCUAAAGCUUCACCUACAAAUCUUCAACACAAAAGCUUCACCUACAAAGCUUCAACACCAAAGCUUCACCUACAAAGCUUCAACACAAAAAGCUUCAACACCAAAGCUUCACCUACAAAGCUUCAACUCCAAAGCUUCACCUACAAAACUUCAACACCAAAUCUUCAACUACAAAGCUUCACCUACAAAAGCUUUAACUCUAAAGCUUCACCUACAAAGCUUCAACACAAAAGCUUCACCUACAAAGCUUCAACACCAAAGCUUCACCUACAAAGCUUCAACACCAAAGCUUCAACACAAAAAACUUCAACACCAAAGCUUCACCUACAAAGCUUCAACACAAAAGCUUCACCUACAAAGCUUCAACUCCAAAGCUUCACCUACAAAGCUUCAACACCAAAGCUUCACCUAUAAAAGCUUCAACACCAAAGCUUCACCUACAAAAGCUUCAACACCAAAGCUUCACCUACAAAAGCUUCAACUCCAAAGCUUCACCUACAAAGCUUCGACACCAAAGCUUCACCUACAAAAGCUUCAACUCCAAAGCUUCAUCUACAAAGCUUCAACACAAAAGCUUCACCUACAAAACUUCAACACAAAAGCUUCACUUACAAAACUUCAACACCAAAGCUUCACCUACAAAGCUUCAACUCCAAAGCUUCACCUACAAAGCUUCAACACAAAAGCUUCACGUACAAAGCUUCAACUCCAAAGCUUCAACACCAAAGCUUCACUUAUAAAGCUUCAACACAAAAGCUUCACCUACAAAGCUUCACCUACAAAACUUCAACACCAAAUCUUCAACUACAAAGCUUCACCUACAAAAGCUUCAACUCUAAAGCUUCACCUACAAAUCUUCAACACAAAAGCUUCACCUACAAAGCUUCAACACCAAAGCUUCACCUACAAACCUUCAACACAAAAAGCUUCAACACCAAAGCUUCACCUACAAAGCUUCAACUCCAAAGCUUCACCUACAAAAGCUUCAACACCAAAUCUUCAACUACAAAGCUUCACCUACAAAAGCUUUAACUCUAAAGCUUCACCUACAAAGCUUCAACACAAAAGCUUCACCCACAAAAGCUUCACCUACAAUUUUCAAAAGCUUCACACAUUCUUGAUCAAGACAGUGUGAAGCAAAACCAAUUUAUGGUGCCAACAAAAGCAAAACCAAUUUAUGGUGCCAACAAAAGCUUCACCUACAAAGCUUCAACACAAAAGCUUCACCUACAAAGCUUCAACUCCAAAGCUUCACCUACAAAGCUUCAACACAAAAGCUUCACGUACAAAGCUUCAACUCCAAAGCUUCAACACCAAAGCUUCACUUAUAAAGCUUCAACACAAAAGCUUCACCUACAAAGCUUCACCUAUAAAACUUCAACACCAAAUCUUCAACUACAAAGCUUCACCUACAAAAGCUUCAACUCUAAAGCUUCACCUACAAAUCUUCAACACAAAAGCUUCACCUACAAAGCUUCACCUACAAAGCUUCAACACAAAAGCUUCACCUACAAAGCUUCAACACAAAAGCUUCAUCUACAAAAGCUUCACCUACAAAGCUUCAUCUACAAAAGCUUCACCUACAAAGCUUCAACACAAAAGCUUCACCUACAAAGCUUCAACACCAAAGCUUCACCUACAAAAACUUCAACUCCAAAGCUUCACCUACAAAGCUUCAACACAAAAGCUUCACCUACAAAGCUUCAACACCAAAGCUUUACCUACAAAGCUUCACCACCAAAGCUUUAUCUACAAAGCUUCACCUACAAAGCUUCAACACAAUUUCACCUACAAAAGUUUCAACACAAAAGCUUCACCUACAAAAGCUUCAACCCAAAAGCUUUACCUACAAAAGCUUCAACACAAAAGCUUCAACUCCAAAGCUUCACCUACAAAGCUUCAACACAAAAGCUUCACCUACAAAGCUUCAACUCCAAAACUUCACCUACAAAAGCUUCAACUCCAAAGCUUCACCUACAAAAGCUUCACCUACAAAGCUUCAACACAAAAGCUUCACCUACAAAGCUUCAACUCUAAAGUUUCAUCUACAAAAGCUUCAACUCCAAAGCUUCACCUACAAAGCUUCAACACCAAUGCUUCACCCACAAAAGCUUCACCUACAAAGCUUCACCCACAAAAACUUCAACACAAAAGCUUCACCUAAAAAAGCUUCACCUACAAAGCUUCAACACAUAAGCUUCACUUACAAAAGCUUCACACACUCUUGAUCAAGAUAAUGUGAAGCAAAAUCAAUUCAUGGUACCCAACAAAGCUUCAACCUCAAAGCUUCACUUACAAAGCUUCAACACCAAAGCUUCACCUACAAAGUUUCACCUAUAAAGCUUAAAUAUAUAUAUUCGGAUCAAGAUAGUAAGACACCUCAUUCGUCAACUCCCUCGACCGGAGACUUGGGGGACUCCUACCAUAUGCUACUACACCUUGAUACUCGGAAGUCUCACAACCACUCAAUGACUUGGAUUUUUUUAAGUCUCCAACCGAGAAAUUUUUCUUACUCAGGAAAUUAGGGGAGCACUAUUUCAACCUACAAGUUGCUCAGUGAAGUAUGCCUUAGUGUAUUUAACACAAUACGUUAAAAUAAAGCAAAGCUUAUUUAUUGAUAUCUCUGAUAAGUUACAAAUAUGUACAUAUACAUGAAUCAAAGUAAACAAACAAGAGGGAGCCUUCACAAAGGUUGCUCAAAAGAAGUCUCAGUAGUCGGGAGAGUCCCAGAAAGAUGAGGCACCGGAGGGUGAUCAUUCGGAGCCUCAGUACUGGGCAGACCCCAGAAGGAAGAGGCACCAGAGGUUGAUCAUUUGGAGCUUCAGUAUGUGGUACAGCCCCAAAAGACGAAGGCAAUAAAUGCCUUUGGAACAAACCCACAAACCUCUGAUGAUCAAGUAAAAUCUAACCAUUAGAUUCCUGCAACUGGUCAAGCUUCCUCUUCAUGUUUGUAGCAUAGUCAUAUGCAAGCCUGUACAACUGUAUUAUUCUCAUGCUUAAGCCCUAUUAUCUCCUAUUUAAGACUUAUCACUUCAGCCGCCAGUGAUUCAACUUGGCAGGUUCGAGCAGAUAGGCGUUGGGCUAUAUUAGACACAGAACCUGCACAGUGAACACUGAGAGCCAGAGAAUCCUUAAUAGCCAACUAAUCAGACUGUUUGGAAAGUAGUCUGUUAUCUUUGGGAGUGAGAAUGUUCCUGGCCACCAUCGCAGCCGUCAUAUCAUUCUUCAUCACAAAGUCUCCAAUAGUAAGAGGACCAGUAGGGGAUAAGAAUGAUGGGCACCAUAUGUUGUCUUGAGGAGGCAUGGCUGCCUCUUUACCAAAGUUCAAGUCAAAACGACGAUCGGAUGGGCCAGACAUUUCCAGAAAUGAUGAAUGAGAAAUGAGGUCCAAUAAAUCUCUGAAGUACAAAAAUAAGGGGAAAAUUCCUACAAGCAAUAACUCUCUGAACGUACUUCUUGCAAACAAUUGAUGCUUCUAUAAAAAAAAGAGCAGCAGGGCCGUUUGUUCAAAAAUCGAAGAGGCACCACUUUCCGGAUUUCGAGAAGCAGAUUUUCCUGAGUAAAAUAUGUCGACAAUCCCCACACGCAACAUCAGCUCCUCAGGUACCAAUAUUAACUUUGCCAAAGAUCUCUGAUAAAGUUUAGACACAUAAAUUUUGAAGGUCUAGCUACCCUACUAUUACCCACAAGGGUAAAGGAACAUCACCACUGCUUGAUAAUUGGAAAGUCCCUAAGUGUGUCAACCUCCGUGCUCCGUGGCAAAGCAGACUGGCCAAAAUGCCCAACCUUUACUCACAUCGAGAAAACAUUCCCAACAGGAUUACUUGCUCAAAAAUCGAAAAGGCACCGCUCUCCGAAUCUCGAGAGCCAGACUCCCACCAGGAUUACUUUUUCAAAAAUCGAAGAGGCACCGCUCUCCGAAUCUCCAGACCCCGACUCCUACCAGGAUUGCUUUCUCAAAAAUUGAAGAGGCACCAAUCUUCGAAUCUCGAGAGCCAGACUCCCACCAGGAUUACUUUCUCAAAAAUUGAAGAGGCACCGCUAUCUGAAUCUCGUGAGGCAGACUCCCACCAGGAUUGCUUUCUCAAAAAUCAAAGAGGCAACGAUUUCCGAAUCUCGAGAGCCAGACUCCCACCAGGAUUACUUUCUCAAAAAUCAAAGAGGCACCGCUAUCCUAAUCUCGAAAGCCAGACUCACAAUAGGAUUGAUUUCUCAAAAAUUGAAGAGGCACCGGUCUCUAAAUCUUGAGAGCCAGAUCCCCAAUAGGAUUGCUUAUUCAAAAAUCGAAGAGACAACGGUCUCCGAAUCUCGAAAGCCAGAUCCCCAACAAGAUUGCUUGUUCGAAAACUGAAGAGGCACCGCUCUCCGAACUUCGAGAGCCAGAUUUCCUUGGAUAAAAUUUGUCUGCAAUCUUCACAUGCAACAUCAGUUUUCCAAAUACCACAUACCAUUUUUUCAAAGUGCUUUGACAAAGUUAAAACACGUGAAUCUUGCAGCUCUCACUACAUUGCUAUGAUCAAGAAGGGUAAAGGAACAGUGUUACUACUCGUUGUUGUGAUAAUUCCUAUAUAUGUCGACUUCCAUCAUCCACAGCCAGGCAGACUUGCAAAAAUGCUCAACCCUUCCUCAUAUCUGAGAGGGCACUCCCAAUGAAGUCUCUCGAAAUACUUAACUUUCUUGCCCCCCACCCCCCAAUUAUACCUCUGCAAACCAGCCACACCAGAGCAAGAGUAUCUCAUAUCAUCAGGGUUAAAAGCAAGAGUAUCCCAUAUCAUGCUUUUUCCCUGUCUUUUCCUUCACCCUUGCUCUUACCUGCAGGACAAGGAAAAAUAACGCAAUCAGUCGGAACCUGAAAUCAAACAUCCGAUCUGGAACUGAUUGCCAGGAAUCUUUGCAUGGUUGCUUGCCUAACAUUUCUCUCGAGUACUCAUCCUCAACUGUUCUCAAGGUCACGACUUCUUUCGGUAAAUACCUCAGAACAGUCGAUACAAUAUUGGCUCUUUACACUGAAGCUGCCAAGCAUGGAUGAGUCGCUGAGAAGUAGUGCUCUGAAGGACCAUUCAAAUGUAAAGGUUGUGCAUCACUUCUGCGAUGUGAAAGAUUGAAGCAGAAGUUCAAUGAUGAGCUGGAACAGAUCACUAUAGCACGACGCCUUCCCUACAGAACCGCAUAAUCCAGACGGAAGAGUUUAAGUCAAAUUCAAGCUCGACAUGGUUGCCCUAUCUGAAUAGCUCGAGAAGCUUCAACAACCUUUCGCUAGCAACGUCGCCAAAGAGCAAAGCCUUGCCAUACCAUAUCCACUGCUUUGUCAAUAGCAAAAGUAUCCUGUAUCAUCAAGGUCGAACAAACUCUUGAUUUGAUGGACUUGUUUUGACCCUUAAAUUCUUGAGUCAGCCUUAUACUCUGGUAGAAACCAGAAAACCCUCCAACCCAGUUCAAGAAUAAGCAUGUGGAAAGUUACUUCUUCAAAAGCAAAAGUAUCUCAUAUCAUCUAUUCUUCUUUUUCUCCUCUUUAUCCAUCUUGCUACCUGCAAGAUAGGGAGAAUGAGAACAAUCAGCUGGAACUCAAAAUCAAACUACUAAUCUAGGACUGAUUGCUUAGAACUCUGAUUGCUUACCUUGUCUGUCACCUCUUUCGGCAGAUCUCCUCGCUCAGAGACUUGGGGGAUUCCUAUUAUAGGGUUUGUAUCACGCUUAACCAAGUCUGAAACUACAAGUAAGCUUCAAGUGAAAUUGAUACAUUACCUUAUGCAUCUCCAUCGGUUAAAGAUACCACCCUUAGAUGGAGGAAAAGUACUUCCAGAGAAGAUGCCACAUCUAUCUAUAAGACAGAUAAGGCAAGUGAAAACGAUACCACACUUCGGUGCUUAGAAGUUUCAUGAUUACUCAGCGGCUUGGAUCUUGCAAGUCCCCAACCGAGGAGCUUUCCUCACUCGGGAACUUAAGGAAGCACUGUUUGUACCAUACUUGACCAAUCCUGAAACUACUGAGCAUCGGUCAACGUUAUACCGUCAAUGAUCCACAAAAGUUUCCCUCCAACCAGAAGGCCAACCAUAGCGCGACACGUGUUGACAUAAGAAGCCAAUCAUAGCGCGACACGUGUCAACACAGAAGCCAAUCACAACACGACACGUGUCAAUAUCAGAACAAAGCUAGAAACUCUCUUCUAUAAAAGGAGAUCAUUCUCCCACAAUAUUUCCUAAUGUCAUUUGUACUAAAUCAUUCACUAGUACUCACUAAAGGAGAGCUUGAACCUAUGUACUUGUGUAAACCCUUCACAAUUAAUGAGAACUUCUCUACUUCGUGGACGUAGCCAAUUUAGAUGAACCACAUACAUUUUGUGUUGUCUUUCCUGUCUCUAUCCAUUUACAUACUUAUCCACACUAGUGAUUGGAGCAAUCCAGCGAAGGUCACAAACUUGACACUUUCUGUUGUACCAAAGUCCUCACUGAUUUUGUGCAUCAACAUAAUUAGUUUCUUGUUUUUUAAAGAAAGGGAAAGCAUAUACAGUUAUACAGCUCGUAGUAAUAUCACAAGUAAAAAAACACAAGCAAUAUCUUUUCAAACAUUCUAAAUUCCUAAUGUUUAAAAAAAUGCAUAUCCGUUAAACUCUAGAUAAUAAUUUCGUAAAAUGUUUAUGAGGCAAGAGUGGGAUUCACUUUUGAGCAUGCUUAAAGAUUCUCUCUUGCAACUAUUGCAUAAUCUUAGUGGCACCCCCACUCUAUUGAAUACUUGUCACGUGAUUAUUUCAUACAUGAUCAUCACAGACUCCUCAUAGGUUUGACCAACUUUCACAAAUGAUAAAUCAAUAGCUUAAUAAUUAAACUAUAAAUUGCCUAACAACAAAGAGAUGAAGCACUUUGGAGUAGUCCCUCUAAAUCAUCAUAAUCAUCUACAUGGCAAAAAUUUUCUUUUCCUCCUCCAAAUCUUCAACAAAUAGAAACAACUAUCAGUUUUAAGUCUAAGAGGUACAUCAAUCUUUUGUAGUUGUCACUGGAGGCAACAAAGGUUGUAAUUGAAUUAACAUUUUUUCUUAACAGGAUUGUAGUUGUCACUGGAGGCAACAAAGGUUGUAAUUGAAUAAAUAGAGAGAAUGCCUCACUAAAACAACAAACAGAGCAACAUUGAAGAUCACAACCUGUCUCCACCCAGGUUAUGUUAUGCAAUGAUUGACGAAUAGCGCACGAAACUGGUAUAAAGAACUCGGCAUCCGCCAUCUUACGUCUACUCCGUGAUAUAUAGCCAACAUGCAAGUAGAGGCCUCAAACAAGACUCUCUUGCCAUGCUUAAAGAAAAUACUUGUAAAGAAAAUCAAGUUGACAUAUGAGUUGCCUAGAUUUCUAUAAGCACUAUCGCACAACUGUUUGAAACGCAACUAGGGAAACCUUAUUCUCCAUGGCCUAUGGGACAGAAGCCAUCAUUCCCAAUCCAAGUUAUCAUGAUGCCUAACUUGUAUACUGAAGAACAAACCACAUUGGAGAAUGCAGGAAUCUUAAAGUCUGACCUCGACUUUGCCAAGCAACGCAAAGAAUGCUCCCAAGUCGGGAUUACUGCCUAUCCACAACAGGUUCAGUUGUACUACAACAAAGGCAUUAAACCUCGAAGCCUUCAAGUUGGAGAUCUGGUUCUAAGAGAAGUGGUCUUAAGAGAAGUCUUCAAGAACACAAAGUACCAAGAGAAGGCAAGCUCGGAACAAACUAGGAAGGAAUAGACAAAGUCGUCGGAGUAGGAAGGAAAUGAACCUACAAUCUGCAGCACAUGGAUGGAACUCCGAUUACCAAAAGGUGGAAUAUCCCCAAGCUUAGGCGUACUACUAGGAAUUUCAACAUCAUAGUCUGUGCGAAGACAAGUCUAUGGAUAAUUGAUCUCUUUAAUGCCCUACCAUAUUCAUCAUAGAUGAUCCUCAAUGUAAAACUUACAUAGUAUCAUCUUUCUAAAUAACUGUACCAGUGAUUUAAUUCUCCUUCCCAGAGAUAUGUAGGCAGUCAUUUUCGGAUUCAUUCACACCCUUGUGUCAAAAUCGUAUUCCAUUCAUUAAUAAAGAAUUUUUCAGAGUUAUCUAUCUCACAUCUACUACAUUUUUGUUCAUUCUUUUCUUUUUUGCAAUGCAGGGUAUACCUCAAAAUCCCGAAUAACACACACCUUUGAAACUUUGCAUAAUUGCAAAUCUAAAAAUUCAAAGUGAUAAUGUCAGAGGAGUCUCAUCUAACCCUAGUGUUCAGUUAGCAGCUUGGGAAGCUCAAGCCAUAUUAAGCAUGGUUAUGAUAGACGGGCUACAUACACAAAGACAUGGCCCCCUAACCCAACGAAUCAUUCAGCCUCCAAAAGGUUUAUGCGACCUAAGGGUGAUAGGUUAUAACAUUCAAACCUAGGCUCUACACUUCGAGGGAAUAAUCGAAAUGGCCAUCCAAAAAUCUUCCAAACGGUGACUCUGAACUCCGAUUUUGAGUAUAAUUACUUUCAUCCCAGACCAGCGUACUAAGUCAAGUACGUUCUACGACACCAUGUGUCUAAGCAGGUUCGAAUGAGACAUCCUGACUAGGAAAUCCUCAAGAGUAAUUUUAUUCCAAAGUAGUUCCGAUAAAUGGAGAUGUCUUCGCCAAUCAGUUAAGUGUAGUCCGAUUAGAAAUGCUCAGGUCCGAUGCAUAGGGUAUGGCAAGAGGAUUCUAAAAGUGUUUCCUACCACAUGUGAACGACCACAUCCCUAAUGAACUUUUGUCUAAUAUUCACUAGGGAUGAACACGCAAUUCAAACUAGGAAGGAAACUCCUUGGUGACAUGUUACGACUAUCAAAAUCCUCAUACCCGGAAGGCGGUAAGGUGAGCGAACAUAUAAGCAGCAUUUUACUUAAAGAGAGAGACAUAUCAAAGUUGAAGUAUCAAAGGCCAUUUCGAAAAAAAAUCUCUCACUUUCUCAUCCUUAAUCCGACUAAUGCACUAUGGCAAGUGUGGAGUAAAUGACUUCUCAUGAGCUUAGUAUUCGUUGUCGAAGUAAGGAUGUAUUUUAAUUAUCGCAAUGAGAAUCUUUACAAAACACCAAGUUUGGGAGGUAUUGUUUUUCCUAAUUAACGUUACCUAAGGGGCUUUUAGCUCUGUCCCGUGCCUACAAACUUGCUAGUGUUUCACACUAUCACUCAUUACUCGAAAUGAGAUUACUUCAGAAAGAUUUGUCGGAUUAAACUACUAUUCUGUAAUUAGUAAGCAAAGGAUGAAAAACUUCAUGCACUUUAUUCCAGCAUGAUCAAUUAUUUGAAUAAAGUUUAAUUUCCUUGUAAACAUGAAAAUUCCUGUGACAAACGAAACAAGAACACACGUACAAACUAGUAACGCACAACAACGACAACCAUAAAGAAAGUUGAGGUUCCACCAUUAAACCAAUUGGCAAUAUAGAGAAUUACCCAACCUCUUAUAAGUUUAUGGUAUGGUUUGGGGUUGGGGUGAUUUUAAAAAAAGCUGGUAUCAAAAAAAGAUAGGGGCAUUUUUGUGUUUGGUAAACUUCCAACUUUAGCUUUUUUCACAGUUUUGGGUGAAAAAAAGCCAAACAACAGAAGCAGCAAAAGGAAACUUUGAAAAACUAGCUUCCGCUUCUGCGCAAACCUUUAAAACACAGGUGAAUAGUGACCCUUUAAUGAAAGUUUAUAGCAAUCCUACCCUCUCUUGCACGCAUCCUUCAAGCUUCCACCAAAAACCCUAGCGAUUAUCGUUCCUUUUUUACGAACCCAAAUCAAAAUUGGGAUCUGUUAAGCCCUAAUUGCAGCAAUCUCACGGCAUCGUGAGCUCCGUCCGUUGAAACUGUGAGUGUAUUUCUUGCUCUUCGCCUUAAAUUUAACCACUUCGAGAGCUCGAAAAAUCUCGAUCUGGUUCAUCAGAGGGGGUUUUGAAUCAGUGCGCUUGUCUUCACUAGGAUCAAGUGUGGAAUCAGGACACGUGGACUGUGGAUCGAGGCGCAGGUCUGAAGUUAGGGCUUUGGAGCUCGUCAGAUGGAGCGGUCGAGGUUGUUCUCCUCCGUCUUCCUCCAUUUUUUCGCGAGUUUUGUUCUUGGUUUUGUCUGGAAGACUGGAACUGUUAAUCAAUAGCAUGAUAGAAUAAAAAUAAUAAAACGAAGGGAAAAGUAAAGGCCAAAGUUAUUUAGAAUAUUGUUAUCCACACAUUCAUUUUUACUUUUCACACGUCUUUUUCAAAUUUCAGUUGUCAAAUCAAAUGAAUUGAAGAAGAUUAAUGACCAAAUGUUAACAAUAUUGUACUAAUGAAAGCUAUUGAAUCUAAAAUAUUUCAAUUGAAGUAGUUUGUCAUACUAAUUAAUAUUUAAGAUAAAGUUUAUAAAUAUUUUUCUUUUAAAAAUAAAGUAUAUUUAGUAAUUCACCUUUAUUUGUUAAGAAAAUUAAAUUAAUAGCACAUCUAGUAUUAUACCCUUUCUGGUCAUUUCACACAAUCACAGCUGUUUUACAUAAAGGUUUACCAAACACUAUCAUACUACUUUUUUUUCCAAAAGCACUUUUACAAAAAAGUUUACCAAACACUCUUCUGCUUUAUUUCACAGCUGCUUAUUCUCACAGCACAGCAGAAGCAGUUUUUUUUCAAAGCACAAUACCAAACUAGCCCUAUGUAAGGUCUCUUCUUCCAUCAAUGUGAGAUUCAUUCUCAACAAUUACAAACUAGUAACACAAAACAACAGUAGCCUUGCUCUUCUUGGAAACAUUGACCAUUUUUUGUUCUUAAUUAGUUUUCAAAUAGUAUUACGAACUAGUAACACUCCUUAUAAAACUGUUUGCUCUCUUAAAACUCUCACUAUCUCUUUUUUUCAUAUGAAUGGAAAGACCUGCAUUUUAAAAGAGGGAGAAAGUUCUUACUUCUUAGCAAUGUUCUAAAACGCGGCCUAAGCGCUAGGUUUCUGAGGCGAUUUGGAGUGAAACGUUAGAGAAAAUCAGCGAUGGCUUAGGCGAGCGCCUAGGCAACAGCUAGGCGGCCCACUAGGCGGUUGCCAUACCUUUGCCGGCAUCGAUGGUCCCGAAGACGAAGGAGAUCCACCUCCUUUCUUUGAGCCCUUAACAAAAAUUUAAGACAAAAUCCUAACUUUAUUAAAUAAUUAAACAAUCAAUGGAGAAGAUAGUGGAAUUUGGAGCUAACCUUGGCCCUUAUUUUGGCUUUCUUCGGGUUCUUGAUGCAUCUAACCAUUUCUGGAAUUCUGGUUCUUCGAGUUUUGCAGAAGCAGCUAGCGAAGGUAAGAGGAGAAAGAGAAAUGAAUGCAAAAGUAAAUAGGGUUUUGGUGGGGAUAGGGAGCAUUUUGCGCUCCAGAGGAGAAAUAAAUGCAAAAGUAAAUAGGGGUUUGAUGGGGCUACGGAGCAUUUUGGGCUCUAGCUUUUUAUGAUUAUAAUAUGUUAUUGUUUUGGGCCCAAAAUAAUAUAUGAUUAUAUUAAUGUGUUUUUAAACCCUAAACUUGUUGAAUACUUGUAAUUUAUGUAUUCUAAUAUAUGUAUUCUUUUACUUUUAUUUUUCAAUUUACUAUUAUUUUGUUCUCAAUACAAGUAUAUAUAUAUUUUUUAAGUGCAAAUAGACACUUAUUUACAAGAUAUACAAUAAAUUAACUUAAAUCCGCCUAAACAGCCUAGGCGCCCUUCUAAACCCCGCCUAGCUGCCUAGGCGCUAGGCCCCAGCCAGCCGCCUAGGCGCCUGACUAGUUCCUAGUGUUUUUUAGAACUUUGCUUCUUAGAUGGAAUUGUCAAUUUCUGGCAAUGCAAGAUUAGUGCACGUCAAGAGAUCACGCUGACACCUGGUAAGCACACCAACUAUUUGAGUUACACAAUUUAGGGCUGGUUUGGUAUUGCUGUGCUUUGAAAAAAAAAAACUGCUUCUGCUGUGCUGUGAAAUAAAGCAAUAAAGUGUUUGGUAAACUUUUUUGUAAAAAUGCUUUUAGCCAAAAAAAAACAGUGUUAAAGUGUUUGGUAAAUUUUUAUGUAAAAUUGUUGCAACUCUGUGAAAUGACUAAAAGAGAUAUGAUGUUGAAUAUUAUAUAAUAAUUUUUUUAUCUUUUCUUUUAUCCGAUGACGUCGACCGUGAUGUGCCCAGCAUCUACUCAAUGCUGCCCUUCUUCAUCUCCACCAGAACCCUCUCUACGAUAACAUCAUGCCGUCAACGGUUGCCUUAUUGGAAUCCAGGUACGAUUCAGAGAGCUUCUGCUUCAUGAUCCACACGAACUGGGACAAGAAAUCGUUAAUGGCUCCGUCUUGCUCCUGCUCAGAAUCCUCGGAAUCAACUGCCUAAGCUUGAGCUGAGUGAAUGUAUCGGUGAAAUGGAAAAAUGGGUUUUGGGAAAUUAGGGUUCUUGAUAGGUUUGGAGCUGCCAUAGCUCGGUGGACGAAACGACUUCAAAGGCUGGGUCUGCUGCUAUGGUAAUGAAAGCAUAGAGCGAUCGCAACCUUCCCCUAAUAAUUGAAGCAUUUGUUACUGCUUGCCUGGAAAUCAAGUGCCGCAAAUUCAUUUCUUAGCGAAAAGAGAGAGAGAGAGAGACGAGUACAGAGAUGCUGGCAUUGGAAAAUUUCAUUAAAGCCUCAACGCCUCUUGGUUUGCACAAAAGCUGGGUAAGCAAAAAAAGACGUUUUUCAAAGCUGAGUUUUGCAACUUUGUGUUUUUGGCUUUUUUUUCACCCAAAACUGUGAAAAAAUGCUAAAGUUGAAUGUUUACCAAACAUAAAAAAGCUCCCAACUUUUUUUUAUACCCACUUUUUCAGAAUCACCUCAAUACCAAACCAGGGCAUACUCAUACAAGUAACGUCAGUUGAUGAAUAUCUUGGCUAGCAGAACGUAAAGAUGACAAUUCUUCUAACCGGGUUUGCGUCUUCAUGGGGCUUGCCCCUAAUUAAUGGUAGCGGGGGUAGCAACAACAACGGUAUCGGCGAUGGUUACUUGGAUUGAUUAAGGUGUCUCUUUUUACAACGAUAAUGCUAAGGAGACUAAAUUUAUAAACAAAGUUUUGUAAACUUAAUAAUAUGAAAGUUGGUGAUUGGAUUAUGACUUAAGACGUUGAUAAGCGUGCUCAUUUAUACUGGUGCAUUAUUUAGUUUGCAAAUUUUAUCUACAAAUUUAGUCUCCCUAGCAUUACCCCUUCUACAAUGUUGAUUGAGAAAUGUUAAAGAGACUCUCAAAAGUGAACUCUUCAUGGACUCUCUGACACCUCAUGUUUUUUGCAAAAUGUUUUACAAUGUCAGUACAAAAAUUAUGCCAAAAACAUGAGAUGGUAAGGAGUCCAUGAAGAGCCUCACCUUAAGAAUUUCUCUAACAUUUCUCUUCCUAGUAAUUCAUUCUUAGUCGGCCUUUAUGCAUGUAAACAUGUUAUAAGUACAAAAGAUUUUAAUGUAUAUCUAUAUAUCACGGUCAUGUGUGCUUACCACGUAGACGUAUCUCCGGUUAUACCUAAGAAUCUCCCUGCAAUUACCAAUCCUAAGGCUCACACACCAGCCUAGGAACUAAAUAGUUUUAUUCUUGAUAAGAGUAAACUUCUGCUAGAUUUAUGUAUAGGGUUAAAACUGUCAUUGCAAUCGUUUUUACAUACAAGAGUAUAGGAAGGAAGAAAAUGCAGCUUUACAUUAUAAUUCAAAUGUUUACAAUACAGACCUCACACCAGUUCUAUACCAGGCGUUCACCUAAGACAAUUUUCAAGUGAAAUAACAACUUGAACUGGGUGAACCUGUUUUAGCGACGUUAAACGAGAAUACGAUGAAGAUCCUUGACUUCUUGUCAUUCUGUUCCCGCCGCUCAAUCACCAGGUUGCUUUUCCGUGUUCCAAAUUACGCCCUACUUUCGUAUUCUUAUGCCAGGUAUGUCUUUCAAACCCAUCUUCAAGGCUGUCUUUCUAAAGAGAGUAGGAGGUUUUUAAAAACCAAUUGACUCACAAAAUUUGUUGGCUUGCUCAACAAGUGUGGUCUUAUCCCUGCCAGUCUCCCUGAUCGAGUUAUAAUACCCAAGCCAAGCAUGAAAUGCUGAUUCUUUGAUGCUAGUGUCAAUCUUGGUCAUCGAGUUGUCAAUCUAAGAGAAUAAGCAAGUUCCAAGCAUUACAAAUAAUUCAAACAAGGUACUGAAAACCUACGAGCUACAAGCAGAUACCAAGCUAUCGAUACCACAAAUAUGGGAAUUGUUUGAUAAAUACCCGAUCAUCACUGGGAUUAAGAUACUGCUAUUUCCAGAAAACUGAAACCGAACUAAGGAUACAAAUUGAACCAAUAAAUUAUUUUAAUUAAUCGUUGGACCAUGAAAAAGAGAACACUGCUUUAAGAACUUCAAUUUCAGAACCGUGAGCUCCUCUGAACUAAAUAAUGUGAUUCAGGUGCAGCAUGAACUAACAUAAAGCAAAGAAAACAAUUGAAGGAGGUGAUGCAAGUACCUUAAGCUUAGUAUCCUGAUCCAAUUGCAGCGAAGGAAAUUUUUCCACAGGCAAAUCUUUUAAUUCAUCCAGAAAAUACUCCUCCAAUGGUGCAAGUAACAAUAUGCCUCGUCCUUCUUUACCCUCCCUUCCUGUUCUUCCAAGAUGAUGUAUAUAUUGUUCCCGGUCAGAAGGAAUACAUACCUGAUUACAGUUAGACCACAUGUUAUUACUUCCAUGAGUUCAAAUUUUUUGUCUUUUUCUUUGUUAGUUUAAUGUGAAAUAGUUAAUAGACGCGGACAUGUCCUAAAUUUUGAGACCAAAAGUCAAGAUUUAUCAUAGCAAUGACCAGGAAAUUGACACUCAAGAACACUAUAUACAUUAGUACGCAAUGUGAGAACAACAAACUUCCAGUUUCAUUAAACAUAAACGAUGACAUUAUACACAACGUAUGUACCAUACUGUAAAAAUUGGGCCCAAGGUUGCCAUGUAAAUCUAAUAAAUUAAUUUGAACCCACCUGAGCGACCUCCUAUGUUUUGUGGUUAGGACAUAUGAAUGUUAGAAAUAUUAACAGUUCACAUGUCAGUUCUAUUAUUAAGGUUCAACCUAUAAGCAAAACAUGAAGUAAUAUUUCUUGAGCUGCAAAUACCUGAAUGACCAAGGUCACAUCAGGAUAGUUCAUUCCACAUGCCGAUACAUCAGAGGUAACAAGAAUCAGUCGUUUCAAUACCCUGAAUUCCUCAGAGACGACUUUGAUAGAGUUGAGGCCUCAUGCACAGAAAAUACAACCAAACAUUUGAAUCCAGAAAGCCAUAACACCAAACCUUAUAAUCAGGUGACUCUGAGAUAUGUUCCAUCAGAAGCUGGUGCACUAUUUGGAAAUGUAAUUCAUGUGGCGCAACAAAACAUGAUUGCUUAACCUGCAUUCACAAGACAAGAUAGGAUCAUGACAUCAUGACACCCGUUGUCAGAUUUUAUGAUUCAGGUACUAUCAGAACUAUUUUAAUCAUCAAUAAUAGAGUAAAUGAAAUGGUACCAGUACUCUCCACGUUAUAAGGCUGAACAGAGAUGUAAAAGUUUUAGCAUAAUUCCCAUCAUGAAAACUAGCCAACUGGUGACUGUUAUAUACACCUUAGCAUGAGUUUCAACAGAACCUAAACCCACUGUGUCAACGAAAAUAUGGUCCUUUUGCAAAACAAGCUGUGAUACUCGGCGAACCUGCACAUUUGUAAUCAAGAAAAAUCUGGCUUGUGGUGGUUUCACUCAGUAAAACAUACCAAGUGUUUACAGUAACAAAUAAAAAGCUACUUUAGGCUUCGGUGUUGAAGUAUAAAGGAUAGCCAAACCUCUUUUGGAAGUGUUGCAGUAAAGAGCAAGGACUGCCUUUGACGAGGCAAACACUCAACAAUUUUCUCUAUAUCCUUUCGAAAUCCUAGGUCUAGUAAGUGGCCCGCUUCAUCGAGUGUACAAACCUGGCAUGGAUUUGAUUCCGGACGUUUCUGGUCUUCUUUGAAUCACGUGCCUCCAACUAGUGUUUGCAUGCCUAUGCCAUCAUGGUACCGCAACAAAACAUUUGUCUCUGCAGCUAUCUGACUUGCGAGUUCUCUUGUGGGACAGAGGAUAAGAACAAAAACCCUUGUCAUUUUAACAUACCCGGCAGAAGUGAGUGCCUUGACUGUCAAUGGAGAUAUACCACACUGAUCAAAUCUGCCAAACGCCGAUAACCAAACGAAUUACCAAUCAGAAGACAAACAUUUAACUCAUCAAAGACGAACUUUUCAGCAUGUUAACACAAAUGUUCCACAUGCAACCAACCAAAGCACAUUACUUGCAUACCUCUUCUCGCUAAGAAUUGACUCCUCCUUUUCGCUCUCCUCUCUUUCGAUGUCAACGGCUUUUUUCUUAUUGAGCUCGCUUCGGAUCACCUCCACCUGCUGUUGGAAAUCAUUUUCGUCAUCCAGUGAAUUAAGGGGCACUCUCCUCUUAAUGAUCUUCAUAUCAUACUUUCCCAAUCAAGCACUACUCCCAAAUCUCAUCACAUUUCUCCCAAAUUUCGAAUUCUAUUUCGAAAACGGCUGUACGGACUCACCGUCCGAAUCAAAUUCGAGUCGUCGGAAGAACUAUCAUUUCUCCGAAAUCGCCCUCGACUUUGCGACGAGUAGUUCCUGCUCCCAACAUAAUUGCCACCCCUGUUCGGGGCAGGAAUUUCCGUAGGGGACGUUUCCUGGCCAACGAGCACACAGCUCCCCUGGAGGUUCGGCACCGGUUGAGGGCUGCUGUCGGGCUUUUGCUUUCCUGUCGGGCUUUGUCUGGCAAGUCUCGUCGGGCAAGAACUCGUCGGGCAAGGCUGAAAGAGAAGGACAGCGUUAACUUUGAGAGGUGCCUUUGUGGGGCCUUAGGUGUAGGCCUUAAGGCUCACAAUCAAGGUUAACAUUGUAGUGCUCAGGCGUGCCACUGCCAUCUUUAGCAUGGCAGAUGUCGAAUGGAUGUCAAGUUUUAGUUGUGAAUAUGCAUAUGCCCGAGGAACCGUGUUAGAUAUAACAGGCGCCUUUGUGAGGCCUUAGGUGUAGGCCUUGAGGCUUCCUGUCAAACUAAAUCAGCACUUGAGCAUAUUAUAUUCGGUCUUUAUGGUUGUCGAGGUCUGAUAACUAUUAUAUUUCUGAUUAUCCGAGUCUGCGAGGUAGAGCGAACCCAAAUAGGUGCCUCUGUGGGGCCUUAGGUGUAGGCCUUGAGGCUUCCUAUUAGAGUCCGUUCUUAUACUCAAGCCAUUUAGACCGCAGAAUAGAAUGAAUCCAGAUAAGUGCCUUUGUGGGGCCUUAGGUGUAGGCCUUGAGGCUUCCUAUCAGACUCCAUUCCAUACUUAAGCGUUCUAUAAUAAUCAUGAUAUAAUAGAAAUAAAACCAGGAGGUAGGUCGAUUACUUGUGCCCCAAGUAACUUCGGACUUCUCGUUUAUCAAGGAUUGUCGUGGAUGGUUUAAGUCCACAUAAAGUUCCUUUUUAUGCCUUGAGGCCAAGGACUUUUAAACUAAUCAGAUUUACAUGCCUGCGGGCUUAGGACUUGGAUCUGAUUUAAACACUGAAGAUACAUUUAAAUCGGAUCCAAGUAUUGAGAAAGCUUUGUCAUCAUGAUUUUGCUAGAAACAACUUGCAUAUAACUAGAAAUAUACAACAUAUUGCUAGACUUUAAAGAAAGAGAAGACAAAGACAGAACAAAGCAGGUCGGGCAAGAUUAAACCUUAUCAAUUAAGGCCGAUCGUCUUGCAGGUCCCUAUCUUUGUAGUUCUGUCAAGGGUCUGAAAGCUUAAAGGGGGAGAGAGGAAGGGAGAAUACAAAAGGUGAAUCGAUACUACAACAAGUUUGAACAAGGUAGCAGAGCUAUUACAAAGGUUAGGAGAAAAGACUAUCCCGCGGGGGAUGAAGGCUUGGGCUGACUGCAGCUUUGUUUUGAAAGGCAAAUCUGGCUUUUUGAGCAAAGUUUGUGCUUUUGUUUGUUUGAUUGAGUGUCUUUGUCUUUGUCUUCUCUUCCUCUUUUUAUAGACGACUUGGUUUGGCUCCUGUAGCAACAGCUUUGCCCGAAUGCGGUCUGAGGGUGAUGACUCAUCAGUUUUAUUACAUGUAAUGCCCCCAUAAAGUACUUUAUGGGCUAUGCAGUCUGAUCAGUCUACACCAUUUGGUCCUUGGGUAGGUAGGCAAGUGGCCUUUGUGAAUUGUAUCAAGUCAGAAAAGGCCCUUUCCUGCUUUCCCAAGUUUCGGCCGGGCUUUGAUCUUCUAUUCCUCCAGGCCUCCUUUUGGGCCGACUCCAUCCUUGGGCCAAAAAUCAAGUUUUGAUCCAAACAAUGCCCCCUUCAAUUGAUGUGAAGGUUGGAAUCCCAAGCGUCGACAUUGAUUGAAUACCCGCAUGCAUGCAUAUCCGUCCUUAGGAAUUGGUGCUUCAGGUGCCCCUUGCUUUUCUCACGACCCUUGAACUGCCCUUUGAGCCCUAUAAAAUCUAGCUCGGGACUUCUUCUAUCAAACUACCAAAUUCCCUUUGGCUUUGGUCUUCAACUUCCAUCCAUUUUGAGCGUUUUUUGUCUUCUCUUAGCAACUGAGAAAUGGGUUCCUCAGGUUUUGAGUGGAGUUUCCUAAAACUCCCCUUUCGUGAGAAAAUGAGGUUUUAUCCGAUGACUGCUAUUUCCAACACCCUUGGUCAGCCGCCCCUCUAUCUCCAACACCCUUGGUCAGGCGGCUUCCUCUUGAUGGUUUAUCUUCCCGCAAGCUGCGGCGAUAAGUUGGGCUUCACCAUCACAUAUGGUGACAGCCCCGUCGGAGGAUCCUCUACCAGGCCCAUGUUGGUCGCACAACCCGAUCACCCGAUUGGGUUCCAUCCAUGAAGACAUCGGGAAACCAGCUGAAGACACCACCAUAUUCAGAGAGAAUCAAAUGUAAUACAUAGGAUUGGAACUCUGUAAAUUUCAUCAAUUUGUCGACAUGAAAUAAAUACUAUUUUAGCAAUUUCUGUCUUUCUGCCUUCUUUGAAUGUUUGAUGACCAAAAAACACUGCAUAUGAGAUUCCCGAAGCUCGCUUCACUCUGCCCCCUUUUCAAUGUAACAAUCCCUAACAUCCCAUAAUGUAGGACAAUAUUUCUUUAAGAAUCUAACAUUGAUGGGAUGUUUCUGCCCAUUUCCUUCGAGGUCCACUAAGUAGUAUCCUCCUUUAUUUAAGACUCGGCUGAUAAUGAAAGGACCUUCCCAUGUCGGGCUCCACUUUCCAAAACCCCGAAGCUGAGCUCCCAGCGGGAGGACUGUUUUCCAUACUAAAUCUCCUUCUUUGAAAGACUUUACCUUCACCUUCUUGUUAUAAUCUCGGGCAACAGCCAUCUUUCCUUCUUAAAUCUGGUUCAAGGCUUCAAUUCGGGCUGCAUCCAGGUCUUCAAUACCUUGACACAUGGCUUCGAUAUAUUCUGCACUAUGUAACCCAAAUUGGUUUUGAAUUCUUACGGAACUGACGUUGAUCUCCAUGGAGAGCACUGCAUCUUGCCCGAACGUCAAGGCAUAAGGAGUUGUGCCUGUCCCCGCUCUUUUGGAAGUCCUGUAUGCCCACAACGUGUUCCCCAACAUCUCAUGCCACUUUUCUGGACUAUCUAUCACCAUUCUUUUAAUAAUGUUGACCAGGAUCUUGUUACUAGCUUCAGCCUGCCCAUUUGACUGAGGGUAGUACGGACUGGAUUGGAUCAUCUUUAUCUUGUACUUGCUUGCAAACUCCUCGACUUCUUUUGAAAUAAAAGAUGGCCCACGGUUCGUCCCCACGGUCCGUCACUAUAGUCUCGGGUACCCCAUAUCUGUGCAAGAUCUUGGUCUCGAUAAAAUUCUUGACUACGGUGGAAGUUAUGGAUUCUACUGCUGAUGCUUCCACCCACUUAGUGAAGUAAUAUGUUGCUACAAUUAUAAAAGUAUGCCCUUUACUGGAAGCUAGAUAAAUUUGCCCGAUGAAGUCCAUCGCCCAUCCUCGGAACAGCCAAGGCUUGACCACUGGAUUCAAAGGUACUGAAGGCACGUGUUGGAGAGGUCCAUGCCUUUGACAUUCUUCACAACCGCGAGCAUAAGACUUGCAGUCUUUUUCCAUGUCGAGCCAGAAAUAACCGUACCUUCUGAGUAGCCAUCUCAUCUUUGUCCCUGCUUGAUGUGCUCCACAUAUUCCCUCAUGUACUUCGGCCAUCACUCUCAUGGAUUCUUCCUGGCCUAAGCAUUUUAACAGUAAUCCAUCUGGGGUUUUUCUUAGCAGGUUCUUCGCCCAUAAGACAUAUUUGGUUACUUACUGCCUAUUCUUCUUACUUGUAGGUGAAGAGGGAUCCUUCAAAUGAUGAAUAAUGGGUGCCCUCCAAUCUUCCAUCUUGGUUUCUAGAACCAUUACAUCCAAACUAAAUCCCCUAUCUAAGAUGGAAGGAAGGUUUCUUGUUUAGAUCUCAACAUCCACGCCAUACUUUCUUUCCUGUAUUGGCACUCCUGAGGCUAGUUGCGCCAUUUCAUUGGCUGCUAAGUUAGAUCCCCUAGGAAUAUGAUUGACCGAUAUCUCAGAUUCCCAGAAACUCAACAAUUGUGUUGCUGCCAUAUAGUACCCCGCCAUAGUGAUAUGUCUACACUUGAACUCGCCAUUUAGCUGGUUUAUUACCAACUCUGAAUCACCAAUGACUUCUACUUCUGCUGCCUCCAAAUCCAACAGGAUUUCUAGACCAAUAAUCAAUGCCUCAUACUCUGCCCGAUUAUUAGUAUUUUCCUGGUAAUCGAGCAGGAAUGAGUAAUAAUGAUAAACCCCCUGAGGAUUUAUAAUCACAAUCCCAGCCCCUGCAGCCUUCUGAGUGUGGGAUCCAUCGAAAUACAGCUUCCAAGGAGUAAUCCAGAGGCCCGUUACUCUUCUUAUCUCUUGCUGGAUCCAAUCUUCUUUGCCCGAAACAUCACUUCUUGGUGGGAUCCAAACGCUAGUAACCUUCAAACUUCCUGGGAUAUUGAUUACCUCACUUUGAGGUUCCUGAUGCUCGGUCAAAAAUCAGCAAUUGCCUGGCCUUUGACUGCCCUUUGGGGUACAAAUUGAAAGCUGAAUUCUGACAGUGCUAGAAUCCACUUCCCAAUCCUUCCUGCUAGCAUAGGUUUUGACAACAUGUACUUUAUCACAUCUGUUUUGGCAAUGAUGUGCACGUGACAAGGUAACAUAUAAUGCCUUAGCUUGCUAGCAGUGAAAUAUAGAGCCAAACACAAUCUCUCUACCGAAGAAUAUCUUGUUUCUACCUCGGUCAAAAUUCUGCUGAGGUAGUAUACGGCCUGCUCCUUUCCACCUUCAUUAUUUUGAGCUAGCAAACUCCCAAUUGAUUUUCCGAAGCAGAAAUAUACAGCUUCAAGGGCUUUCCCCUUUGAGGUGGUACCAGCAUUGGUGGAGAAGUUAGAUAGGCCUUGAUGUUGUCAAAUGCCUGCUGGUGGGUCGGUCCCCACUCGAAAUUCUCUUUAUCUUUCAAUCUUAGCAGAGGAGUUAGCGGCUGGAUUUUGCCCGCUAAAUUGGCAAUGAAUCUCCUCAAGAAGUUAAUCUUGCCUAGUAGUCUUUGAAGUUGCACUUUGUUGGUGGGUGGAGGUGACUCCAAUAUUGCCCGAGCCUUGUUUUUGUCCACUUCCACACCUCUCUAAUGCACCAAGAAUCCCAAGAAGUUGCCCGCUCUUACUCCAAAUGCGCACUUCUUUGGAUUCAUCUUCAAUUUGUGGAUCCGCAUCCUUGUCAAUGCUUGCCUAAGAUCUAUUAGAUGCUGCUCUUCUGUUUUAGAUUUCACCACGAUGUCGUCGAUAUAUACCUCCAUGUUCUGGCCAAUUAGAUCAUGAAAAAUAGCAUUAAUUGCCCUUUGAUAUGUUGCGCCAUCAUUCUUGAGCCCGAAUGGCAUGACCAGAUACUUAUAUGCCCCCAAAUGACCAGGACACCUAAAAGCUGUUUUAUGAAUAUCAUUUGGAGCCAUCUUUAUCUGAUUAUAUCCGGCAUUUCCAUCCAUAAAAGAUAAAAAUUUAUGCUUUGCUACUGCAUCUAUGGAUAAAUCAGCCAUGGGCAUGGGGUACUCAUCCUUUGGCGUAGCGCCAUUAAUAUUUCUGUAAUCGACACAACAUCGUACUGCUUUUGUUACAGCUUUCAAAACGGGUACAAUGUUGGCCAACCAUUCCAUAUAUUUGGCUGGUCUGAUAAAGCCAGCUUUCACUAGCCUCUCAAUCUCUUCUUUGACCUUCUCUUCUAUCUCCUUUGACAUCCUCCGUGGUGCUUGCUUGACCGGUUUAUAUCCUUCCUUGAUGGGCAUUCUAUGUUCCACCAAGGUUGGAUCUAACCCUGGCAUCUCGGUAUAAUGCCAAGCAAAACAGUCUUUGAAUUCUUGCAAAAGACAAAUAAUCCUGGCCCGAUCUUCGGCUCCUAAUAAACCACUGAUCUGUAUUGGUCUUGGAUCCUCCUCUGUGCCUAGAUCAAUAACUUCCAAAGGAUCCUGAACUUCAGGUGAUGGAUUAUUAGGUUCUGCAUAUAAAAAUUUGACCAACUCUGGGCUCUCGGGCAAGUCGUCUGGCCCAUCUAGAUCAUAUAUGCACUCGGCCAUUUGAAUGGCCCUAUCCAGUUCUUCACUGCAAGAUUCCUCUCUAUUUCCAUGCUGGCUGGUUGAAGCUUCUUCCUGCCAUUCUUGCUCUUCCUGCUCCCUUUCUUGUCUUCUUCCCUUCCCAUAUACCAACAGUCUUUUAAUCAGGGAUCUGACUGCCAUGACCUGAUCUUUCUUCUUUUGUUCAGUCAUUGAUGGUGUAGGGAAUUUGGUAUGAGACAUGGUCUAUCCCACUCCUCCUUAGUAAGGAGCAUUCCUUGUUCCAAAAGCUUUUAGGCCGUCACCUUGGUAGGGCGGUCGUUCUUAUCAGCUCCUGAACAUUUCAAGAUUCCUACGUUGGGAUUGUAGAAACUUGCUUCCGCAACAUUGGCCGAGGGGAGGAACGGCCGUGUUUCGGCCUCUAUUAUCUCCCAAAGCCUGGUCCUUCAAUACCCACCUCAUGAUAUACAGCCACUUGUUGAUGAAGAGUGGAAGGUAUGGCUAAACUUUGAUGGAUCCAAUCUCUUCCGAGUAAGGCUCCGUAAGUGGAGGUGCAGUCCACCACAAAGAAUGCCAGCAUUAUCUUUUUGGAUCCUAAGUCCACCUCCAAAGGUAAUAUCCCAUAAGUCCUAGUGAUAGCACCUGAGAAGCUAGAGACCGUAAGGUCCGUGGGAAUAAGAUCUUCCGUACCUCUCCCCAUCUUUCUCAUCUGCUUGGCCGGUAACACGUUAACAGCUGCUCCUCUAUCAAUUAAAAUUCUUUUGAAGGGUACAUCUUCCAAGUGAGCUGAAACAUAUAUAGGCUUCAGAUGGUUGGCCAACGAAAUACUCGGGCGGCUGAACACCAUCUCGUCUGUGUAAAUCCUCAUAGGACCACCUUUGGAUGCUUCUGAGGGCUCAGCCUUGCCCGAGUCUUCUUCUUCUUCUUCUGCUAUCUCCACAUUGACUUGUGCCAUCAUUGGCUCCGUUGUUAAGUAAUCACCCUCCAUAGUAGCAGGCUGAUCAGGUCUGGCACCAAACGUGGCGGAUAACACAUACGCCAUGUUGAUGUGGAAAUUACUGGGCUCGGGCAGAUCCUCUUUAUUGCUCCCAAUCUGUUCCAUAAAUUCAUCCAACCAGGCCAUCGCAUCAGCUGGAAGUAAUGGUUCUGGUGCCCCCUCCCGUUGUGGUUGAUCCAUGCCCUCGUACAACGUUUGUUUUGGAACUUCUCCAAAGGGAUCCAGCAAUGGCAGAGAAAGUGGUCUUGCAACAGUUCCCAUGUGAAUAGGUUCUGGCUUCCAUCCAGGAGUUGGUAUCAUGAUCAGAUCUUCUUGAGCUCUUCUCAAGAUCCUAUACUUCCCAGGAUGUUGGACCUGCGGCACAUGAUCCCCUACCCCCUCUGCUUUGCUAUUGGCAUUCUCUACCUCCUUCUUAUUUCGCCAACGGAGCUGGCCAUUACCUCCAGAUGUUGCUCUUUCCAACUUUUGAUUUUUUGAGGCUUCGGAGGUAGUGGGGGUCUUCAAAGAGUUCAUGUAUGCCUUAUGCUGCCUUUGAACCCUCCUGAUCAUAGAGGAUCCCAUUGGUUUGGUAGGCUGUCCGUUCUUCCCAACUACAUACCAUUUUCGCCCGAGGUGGGCAGGAUUCCCUUUUCUGCCGGGAUUAGCUAUCCUAUCAGUUCUCUUGUCUUCCCUCCCCAUCUGGCCAUUCUGAGGAUGACCUGCACCUCUUUGGAUUGUGGCCUCCAUUUUUUCUGCCUCGUCAGAAGCUUCAUGGUUUCGAAACACUUCUGACAAAGCCUUGGGUUGGGAAUCACCUCCUAAGCGUUGAAAAACGCUUCGUGAGGUGUCCUUCCUUGUUGCCUGUUUAUUUUUCUCGCGGGCUUCUCUUCUUGCAUCUUCUUCCUUCCUCCUGACUAACUCGUGAUCAAUGAGGACUCCAGCCGAGGGAAUCUCGAGCUCACACUCACACUGGCAUUUACUGCACAUAACCAUCCCCUUGAUUAUGGCAGCCUUUGGAUACUCGGGUAGUUUGUUUAUUCUCUCUGUAGGUUUUUUGGCCAGUCUUUCUUCUUCUUCCCUUGUAAUCUUCCCUUUUCCUUUCUCCGCCCAUGUCAUAUUGAGCAUAUUUAUAGGGGCCUCUGAAAAGGGAAAUGAAGGGCUGAUUACGUCCAUCCCGUCUGGCUGGCUGUUCCUACGUCUUUCUCCUUUAGGAUGAACCACAUCCAUAUCACUUCUAGAGCCCGUGGAGGCUUUCUCCAAGCGUUGCAGCAUUUGAAAUAACGUGGUCUGCAAGUCUUCUGGCAUAUCUGUUUUUCUAUCUUCUGAUUUAGUAGAUCCCACCGGGCGUGCCAAAACUAUGUUCGGGGCAGGAAUUUCCGUAGGGGACGUUUCCUGGCCAACGAGCACACAGCUCCCCUGGAGGUUCGGCGCCGGUUGAGGGCUGCUGUCAGGCUUCUGCUUUCCUGUCGGGCUUUGUCGGGCAAGUCUCGUCGGGCAAGAACUCGUCGGGCAAGUCUCUUCGAGCAAGGCUGAAAGAGAAGGACAACGUUAACUUUGAGAGGUGCCUUUGUGGGGCCUUAGGUGUAGGCCUUAAGGCUCACAAUCAAGGUUAACAUUGUAGUGCUCAGGCGUGCCACUGCCAUCUUUAGUACGGCAGAUGUCGAAUGGAUGUCAAGUUUUAGUUGUGAAUAUGCAUAUGCCCGAGGAACCGUGUUAGAUAUAACAGGCGCCUUUGUGAGGCCUUAGGUGUAGGCCUUGAGGCUUCCUAUCAAACUAAAUCAGCACUUGAGCAUAUUAUAUUCGGUCUUUAUGGUUGUCGGGGUCUGAUAACUAUUAUAUUUCUGAUUAUCCGAGUCUGCGAGGUAGAGCGAACCCAAAUAGGUGCCUCUGUGGGGCCUUAGGUGUAGGCCUUGAGGCUUCCUAUUAGAGUCUGUUCUUAUACUCAAACCAUUUAGACCGCAGAAUAGAAUGAAUCCAGAUAAGUGCCUUUGUGGGGCCUUAGGUGUAGGCCUUGAGGCUUCCUAUCAGACUCCAUUCCAUACUUAAGCGUUCUAUAAUAAUCAUGAUAUAAUAGAAAUAAAACCAGGAGGUAGGUCGAUUACUUGCGCCCCAAGUAACUUCGGACUUCUCGUUUAUCAAGGAUUAUCGUGGAUGGGUUAAGUCCACUAAAGUUCUUUUUUAUGCUUUGAGGCCAAGGACUUUUAAACUAAUCAGAUUUACAUGCCUGCGGGCUUAGGACUUGGAUCUGAUUUAAACACUGAAGAUACAUGUAAAUCGGAUCCAAGUACUGAGAAAGCUUUGUCAUCAUGAUUUUGCUAGAAACAACUUGCAUAUAACUAGAAAUAUACAACAUAUUGCUAGACUUUAAAGAAAGAGAAGACAAAGACAGAACAAAGCAGGUCGGGCAAGAUUAAACCUUAUCAAUUAAGGCCGAUCGUCUUGCAGGUCCCUAUCUUUGUAGUUCUGUCAAGGGUCUGAAAGCUUAAAGGAGGAGAGGGGAAGGGAGAAUACAAAAGGUGAAUCGAUACUACAAGUUUGAACAAGGUAGCAGAGCUAUUACAAAGGUUAGGAGAAAAGACUAUCCCGCGGGGGAUGAAGGCUUGGGCUGACUACAGCUUUGUUUUGAAAGGCAAAUCUGGCUUUUUGAGCAGAGUUUGUGCUUUUGUUUGUUUGAUUGAGUGUCUUUGUCUUUGUCUUCUCUUCCUCUUUUUAUAGACGACUUGGUUUGGCUCCUGUAGCAACAGCUUUGCCCGAAUGCAGUCUGAGGGUGAUGACUCAUCAGUUUUAUUACAUGUAAUGCCCCAUAAAGUACUUUAUGGGCUGUGCAGUCUGAUCAGUCUACACCACUUGGUCCUUGGGUAGGUAUGCAAGUGGCCUUUGUGAAUUGUAUCAAGUCAGAAAAGGCCCUUUCCUGCUUUCCCAAGUUUCGGUCGGGCUUUGAUCUUCUAUUCCUCCAGGCCUCCUUUUGGGCCGACUCCAUCCUUGGGCCAAAAAUCAAGUUUUGAUCCAAACAACCCCAAUUACUCAAAUUUACACUGUCCCUCCUUCCCGCCAAAUCACGACCUUUCGAUAUCAGCUUCCUCAGGUCCAGCGGCGGCGCUGCAAUCGAUCUCGUCGUUCCGUCCGGUCGAACCGACGGGAGCGGUUCAACAAUCGGCCCAUCCUUUUCGUUCCACAAAUCUUCUGCGCCUUCCUUCAUGAACCGAUCGACAAGUGCCUUCAGGUGCUGGUUCGGGUUCAUCGGGCUGUGCCCGGUUCCAGUACUCGAAAACGGGUCGGGCUUGCCGCCCAUAGGUCGGGUCAGAAUGAGCCUGCAGAGAAGCUUGGAGAACUGUCUCGGACACUCCAUAAGCAUCGAGGCGGACAUAGUUUGCGGUCCAGCAGGGUAGGAUCCACCAAUGGAAAGGGUUUUACUGGUUUAGGGUUUAAGGAGGACGAUUGGGAUGCUCCUACUUUCCGGUGUUGUUGCCCAAACUGGCAUCUGGGUCGUGCGCAUGACCCGGUUUGAUCGAAUCUGAGCCUUUCGUUUUGAUACCUGAAAAUCAACGGCUGUGAUGAAUAUUUAUAGAACAAGCAAAUGAAGCUAAAAAUAUUUUCUUUAAAAACGUUUUUGGUUAUUUUAAAAGUAUAUUCAAACGAAUUCUAAAGUAUUCGAUCCAGCUCUAUCGCUUUCAACCAACGGCGGAGCCAAGUACGAGGCUACCUUGGGCUAUAGCCUAGGUAGCUCUUGUGGAACAAACCAAUUAUUCCCUGUAUUUCAUUUAUUUUUAUAUUCAUCUCACUAUUAGCCCAUGUAUGUUUUUUAUUUAUUUACUUCAUUGACCAAUACUAUUUAUUUCCUAACAAAAUCUUUACACUUCAUAUACAAUCCAUUUAUGGUUAAUCGUGACAAUAAUUACUUACUCUAAUAGCGCUUUUAAUUCAGUUUUUGAAUUAUUUUAUGCAUGACUUUUAUCUAUUUAAAAAGUUUUACAGUGUGUUCAUUUUUUUCUGUUUAGAGUACUAGUAAUUAUUCCCUUAACUUAUAGUUCUUAAAUUGAAAUUUUUUAGAGUACUAUUCCUUUUUUUGUUUACGGGAUGAAAAUUUUAGAGUAUUAGUAACUAUUCCCUUACCUUGUAGUUCUUAGAUCGAAAAUAAUGCAUCCGACCCCUUAACCCUAAUUUCUUAACCACAAAUUCUCCCCAGUUUCGCCAAAUCCAAUUUGUCUCUCUCAUUUGAAAAAUAUUUUUAAAAAAUACUUUUGAACAAAAAAAAAAAGGAAAAUAAAUACAUAAAUAAUGCUACCUUGUACUUGUCCAAUCCCAUGGAAAACCUACAUGCUUGGGUCUUCAUUAAUUUCUUGAAAUUUGAAUGAAUCUGGCCCUCUUUCGAGGAUUUUGCAUCUUACAUAUAUAUCUUCGUCAAACAUCUUCGUGCAACUCAUCCGCAUCAUGCAAACAAACAAAGAAAGAGGGAACGAAAAUCGUGUUGAAGACCACUUACAAAUGAAAUUAUAAUGUCAUGUCGAUGUAAAACAAUUAUCAGCCCACUAAUUACUGUUUUAAAAAAUUAAUAACAAUGCAUAUCAAGUUUUUCUUUAAACACAUGACUAAACUGAAUUGACAUGUCAAUGACGAAUAAUAAAUUACCAACUAGUUCGUUAGCUUGUAAAUAUGAAAGCAGAACGAUAUUUUUCUUCUAAAGUUGUAACAGAUUCUGAGUUCAAAUUUUUUUUGUCCUCCAAAAUAAUACAUGUUCAACUCAAAAAGUAAUUGAAAGUGUUUGAAAUGUAUAUAUUCAUUAUUAAGAAUUAGAUUAAUUAGAACAGUAAAAGUGGAAAUAUCAUAUUAUGUCAUGGCAUACGUGACCGGUACCGACUCAUUGAUUGGACCAACUUUGACAAAUCAAUAGCCGAUUGACUAUAAAUACAGACCAAGAACACCGAGCAGUGAAGCACAUACAAUUGAAGUCCUUGUAAACCAUCUGAAAUUUAUCAUCCACAUCCAAGUCGACGACAAAAAUGGCAGAAAUCAGUUUCGGGUCUAAGAGGUACAUCAAUCUUUCGUUUAUUCGUUCGUGAGACAAGUGAAUGAAUGAUUAUUUUGGAGUGUUAACUGCUGAGAACAGUUCCGGAUUAGUCAUGAUUUGAGUAAUGUUAUGUUAAUUUUGGUUUUUUUUUUCAUAGGAUUGCGGUUGUUACUGGAGGCAACAAAGGGAUUGGAUUUGAGAUUAGCAGGCAAUUAGCAGCUAAUGGAGUUGGGGUGGUGUUAACUGCAAGAGAUGUGAGGAGGGGAACAGAAGCCGUUGAGAAAUUGAAGGCUUCUUAUGGCCUCUCUGAUGUGGUAUUUCAUCAGCUUGAUGUAACUGACCCAUCUAGCAUUGCCUCUCUGGCUGAAUUUCUCAAAACUCAACUUGGAAACUUGACAUUUUGGUAAUUUCUCUAGCUUAUUUCUACGCAUUUCUAAAUGGCUUGUAGGCUUGUAGCUCAAGUAAUUAAGAGCGGCGGACGUUCUGUUAAAAAUAUAUAUAAUCUGCUGGUUAUAGUAUAUAAAUAUUUUCUUCAUAUUGUAGGUAAAUAAUGCAGCAGUUAUCGGAUCCGUAUUCCUCACAGAUGACAAAGAGAAGUUAGCAAUUGGGCCUGAUGAUGUAAGUUGUUGAAAACUCUAACAAUGUCCGUCAACAAUCUAGUACCCUCUCUCGUGUAGGAUGAAUCUACACACGGAAAGGCAUACAGAUUCAGACAACCAUAUACAUAAUAAAUAUAAUAUGCAACAGGGGUAGGGAUUGAGGGAUGCAAACCAAGGACCUCGAUCGUGAAAAUAAGAUGUUAGAAAAUAGAUCGAAAUACGUAGAUCAACUUUAGUGAACAUUACUGUAUAAUACACAUCAUAUUCACAAGAGCAAAUGAUCAUGCAGCUUAUAGGUCCCAAAGCAGGAAAUAAGAAUCAAGUCCUAAAACAAACCUAUGAGACAGCAGGGGAUUGCUUAAAAACAAACUACUAUGGAAUUAAGCAACUCACGGAAGCACUCAUUCCACUCCUUCAACAAUCCGACUCGGCAAGGAUCGUCAAUGUCUCCUCCCAAUUGGGACAACUAAGGGUACACGUCCGAA
rnacentral:lncRNA from 1 species